CUUUACACAAGGUAGUGAGAGAAGGUUUUCUGGGAAGGUUACAUCUAAAAAGGACUCAUCUUGAGGGAGUAGGAGGCCAAAGCAACGAGUCUGGGCAAAAGAAAUAACAGGACAGAAAAUAAUUUUCUAAAGAAGCUGAAAUGGGAUCUGAAGGAUAAGUAGCCGUCAACUGCAAGCGAGGGGAAGGAAGAGCAUUCCAGGUAAUGAGAACAGCAUAUGCAAAGGCCUUGAGGAAGAAGGAGGAAGAAGAAAAGGAGGAGGAGGAAGGAGGAGGAGAAAGAAGAAGAAAGAAGAAGAAGGAAGAAGGAAGAAGAAAGCCUGGGAGAGAGCACUACCGCGAGGCUCUGGAGGGGCAGGCGGAGAGAAUCUCAGACUCGUCGCUGAGCCUGGGAGGCUGAUUGCAGGGCUCCAUCUCACCACCUGAGCUGAACCCAAGCGUUGGGCCUUAACCAGCUGGGCCACCCCAGGCGCUCCGCAGACACACAGAGAGAGAGAGGCAGAGGGAGAAGCAGGCUCCAUGCAGGGAACCCGACGUGGGACUCGAUCCCGGGACUCCAGGAUCGCGCCCUGGGCCAAAGGCAGGCACCAGACCGCUGAACCACCCAGGGAUCCCUGGCUUUUGGAUUCUAAUCUAGGAAAGCUAUCCCUUCGGGACACAUAUGUGUCCACAGGAUAAGGAAACACAGGAUAAUAAAACACUUUUAUUCCAUGAAUAAAACAAAAAAGACAACUCAAGUAAAUACUUUGUUUUCAUUGGGAUUAGCUUUUUCAAAAUGUGUCAGAACUCUGCUUUUGGAUAAUCAUAUUCAUUUCUGAGUAAAUACUGACUGUAUCCAUCACUCACUGUACCCCAGGUAGAUGCAGGUAAGCCGACAGUCCUCAGUUUAUUGAUACAGUAAAAUGAGGAUCUUCCCUCUGGGUUUUUUUAAUUCACAGCUGAGGCCUUUUAGUAGAUAUUUCUAGUAGAGUUAAGUAAAAUCAUGUAAUACAUUUAAGUAUUCAAUUAUGGGAAGCCCGCUGACUCCAUGCAGGCUCUGGCUCCAGCUCCAGCUCCAGCCCCGGGGUCCUCCAGCUAACCUCCCCACCCAGCCCUUCCAGCAGAACAGCCAGAUUUCUGAGCACAACAGAAGCUACCAGGAAGCUGGAACUGGCCCAAUAUCACUUCUGCCACAUUCUGUUUGUUAAAGCAAGCCAUGGGUCUGCUGAGAUGCCAAGUGAGGGGAGUACAUACUAGGAGGCAUAGUUCCUGGGGGCCAUCAGCUUAACCAACUAUCACAGUGCCUUGGACAAGUAAGUGACUUUACCUCUUUAGGCCUUAUCUCCUUGUGUUGAAUGAUGAUUAUAAUGUAACCUACUUGAUUAGAUUGUAAUGCAAAUGGAGUGAAACAGCCAAUUCAGAACAAAGCUGGAAAAUGGUCUUAAAAUGAUCUCCUUCAUCUUUAUUUUUUAUUUUUUUAAAGAUGUAUUUAUUUGAGAGAGAUCAUGAGCAAGAGAGGAAGAGAAUCUCAAGCUGGCUCCAAGGGGAGCUGUGCUCCACUCAAGCUGAGUGUGGAGCACAAUGUGGAGCUUGAUUUCGGGUACUUGAGAUCAUGACAAGCCAAAAUCAAGAGUCAGAUGAGAUGCCUGGGUGGCUCAGUGGUUGAGUGUCUGCCUUUGGCACAGGGCUUGAUCCUGGGGUCCUGGGAUUGAGUCCCACAUCAGACUCUGCUCAGUGGUGAGUCUGCUUCUCUCUCUCUGCUCCUUACCCCAUUCAUGCUCUGUCUCUCACUUACUUUCCCUCUGUCUCUCAAAUAAAUAAAAAUCUGUGAAGAAAAAAUAUGUAUAAACUACUGACAUUGAAAAGAGUGGCACAAGGAUUUCCUUAGUUGCUCCCAGCUUCAUAUGUUUUUCUGUUUGAAUGGAAUACUUUACUUUUUUCAAAUUAAAAACAAGUAGUCAUACAUCAAAUGUAACUGUGUCAAUAGUGUACUUGUCUCUGAAUCAUAGUAAU